GAUGAACGCUGACAGAAUGCUUAACACAUGCAAGUCGAUGGGGAAGUGGUGCUUGCACCAUGGUAACCAUGGCGGACGGGUGAGUAACGCGUAAGGAACUUGCCUGCGGGACUGGGAUAACAGCAGGAAACUGCUGAUAAUACCGGAUAAGGUCAUUAAGCUGCAUAGCUUAGUGAUGAAAGGAGACGCCUGCGGAGAGCCUUGCGUCCUAUUAGCUAGUUGGAGGGGUAACGGCCCACCAAGGCGAAGAUAGGUAGCCGGCCUGAGAGGGUGGACGGCCACAAGGGGACUGAGAUACGGCCCUUACUCCUACGGGAGGCAGCAGUGGGGAAUAUUGGACAAUGGGGGCAACCCUGAUCCAGCAAUUCUGUGUGCACGAAGACGGUUUUCGGAUUGUAAAGUGCUUUCAGCAGGGAAGAAGGAAGUGACGGUACCUGCAGAAGAAGCGACGGCUAAAUACGUGCCAGCAGCCGCGGUAAUACGUAUGUCGCGAGCGUUAUCCGGAAUUAUUGGGCAUAAAGGGCAUCUAGGCGGCCUUUCAAGUCAGGGGUGAAAACCUGCGGCUCAACCGCAGGCCUGCCUUUGAAACUGAUAGGCUGGAGUACCGGAGAGGUGGACGGAACUGCACGAGUAGAGGUGAAAUUCGUAGAUAUGUGCAGGAAUGCCGAUGAUGAAGAUAGUUCACUGGACGGUAACUGACGCUGAAGUGCGAAAGCCGGGGGAGCGAACAGG
rnacentral:rRNA from 1 species